rnacentral:rRNA from 1 species
GAUGAACGCUGGCGGCGUGCUUAACACAUGCAAGUCGAACGAUUAAAGCCCCUUCGGGGGUGUAUAGAGUGGCGAACGGGUGAGUAACACGUGGGCAACCUGCCCCUCACACCGGGAUAACUCGGGGAAACCCGAGCUAAUACCGGAUACUCCGUAUCCGCGGCAUCGCGGAUACGGGAAAGCGUACACGGUGAGGGAUGGGCCCGCGUUCCAUUAGCUGGUUGGUGAGGUGACGGCCCACCAAGGCGACGAUGGAUAGCCGGCCUGAGAGGGUGAUCGGCCACAUUGGGACUGAGACACGGCCCAGACUCCUACGGGAGGCAGCAGUGGGGAAUUUGCGCAAUGGGGGAAACCCUGACGCAGCAACGCCGCGUGCGGGAUGAAGGUCUUCGGAUUGUAAACUUCUUUGAUGAGGGACGAACACAAUGACGGUACCUCAAAAACAAGCCACGGCUAACUACGUGCCAGCAGCCGCGGUAAAAGUCAACGUCG